ACCUGCAGAAGGAUCAUUAGUGAAGAUUUGGGCAGGCCAUACGGACGCCAAAAAGUGUCCCUGGCCGCCUACACCCACUAUACAUCCACAAACCCGUGUGCACUGUCUUGGAGAAAGGCUUCAGAGAAGUUUUUUGUGGCCUCUCUUGGGGUCUUUCUUCGCUACAAACUCGAAUGGUUAGUAUGAACGUGGAACUUGGUUGGACCGUCACUGGCCAACAAACUAUACACAACUUUCGACAACGGAUCUCUUGGUUCUCCCAUCGAUGAAGAACGCAGCGAAACGCGAUAGGUAAUGUGAAUUGCAGAAUUCCGUGAAUCAUCGAAUCUUUGAACGCACCUUGCGCUCUAUGGCAAUCCGUAGAGCAUGCCUGUUUGAGUGCCAUGAAAUCUCCCACCCCAAGCGGUUUUUAAAUGAAACGGCUUGGCGGAUGGGGUCUGGAUGGGUGCCUCUGCCUGCGCUACCUAGCACAGGCUCGCCCGAAAUGCAUGAGCGCCUUGAGACACUUUGCAUCCGCCUCUCUGUUUGGGAGGAGGCGGCCAAGCAGUGUUUUUCUCCUGGCAUGGCAUGAUACGUCAUUUGCUAUGUCGCCUAAAGGAGGAAUGUUUGGUUGUGUCUGCGUGUGCUUCGAACUUGCCUCUGUGGCACAUCCCAAUUUCACUUCUGGUCUCAAAUCAGGUAGGAUCACCCGCUGAACUUAAGCAU
rnacentral:rRNA from 1 species